UUAAGAUUUGCCUUGUUCACUAGCAGGGGUGUGAUUUUUUCCCCCCAGCUAUAGAUAGUUUAAUUCUGGGGAUUGUGGAGGGGGUAUGAAUGAGAGAGCCCAGAGAUGCCUGUGGUGGCUGUUGCCUCUCAUACUGUCUUCCCCUACUCCCAUUGAUGCUGGUCCCUGCUGGUCUCUGCUGGUCUCUGCUGGUCCCUGCUGGUCUCUGCUGGUCCCUGGUGGUCUCUGCUGGUCCCUGCUGGUCCCUGGUGGUCUCUGCUGGUCUUUCCUGGUCUCUGCUGGUCCCUCCUUCUGUGUUUGCUGUUGCAUUUGCUGUUGCUGAAUUGCUAGUUUGCUGGACUAUUGGAUAGUCUAAAGAUGAAGAUUGACUUGCCCCAAGGAACCCAAACUAGCAGGAGGCAGUCUAUAGAUGUCUAUGCUUCCUCCCCCCACCCAAACCUUUCUUUCCUACCUAGUGUUGGAGGAUUGGAAGGGUGUUAGGGUUGAAUAAGGGUUAGAAGGGAGGUAGAGGUAUAAGAACCCAAUACAAUAGUGAAGAUAAACUAACCAAUGUCUUAUGUCAAUGUUUUCUACCCAGAGACCAAUGGGAAUCCCAAGAAGUCCUAGGAGAGAGAUGUAACUCCACACAGAUGCAUAGCAGCUUCUUCCCAGGGAAGGAGGUGGGAUUCUCCGUGCUGUCUCUAAUUCCGUGGUGGUCUGAGCCCAGAUGCAGGUGCUGGUUCACUGUAUGGGAGUUUCUGCUACAGAAUGAUGGAUUCUAUGGUCCGGGUUAGUGGGAAGUAAGCCUCUGGGACCACUCCAGCUCUCCCGGUCCCCAAGGCCCUGAGACCAGUGGGUGCCAAAACCCUGCCUGGAGAUGGCCAGGAGCAAGAGUAAUCGUCACACAAGCCGCGCCCAUGGACCUCUCCUCAUAAAUGCUGACUUUGCUCUUGGUAAACAGGUGGUGUACGAGGGGAUGGGUACUUCAUUUUACUUUUUUGAUAGAAUUAUUACUUUAUUAUUUUCCCUAUAAAUAGAGCGCUGACUCAUUUCGGUAAAGAAAUCAGCAAACACAAACAAACCCACAGAAGAAAAUAUAAAAUACUUAGAAUGUUGCCACCCACAUCAGAAUGCGAUUCUUCUCAAUUUUUCAUUUUUAAUGAAGAAAACUUUUCCCACAAGAAAGGAUUCUGCUUCGUUAUAAGCCUACAUUUGUUUCCAUACCAUCAUUAUGCUUUUUUUUGUCAAUAUCAUGCCCUUAUGUUAAUAAUACCACCCCUCACCCCCAUCCUUGAAUGCCAUUGUAUCUUUGCAGUGACGCCAUGGCUCAUUCUCUGUUUUCCUGUAUCAGUGGUAAAUGAUUCUUCUAGUUUAGUGUGUGUGCAUCUUCCAAGUCUUUUUGUCUUUCUCUGUACAAAUCUAUGCUGCACUACCAGCAGUUCUCUGUUCUGGCAAAAAUCACAAUAAAAAAUACCU
rnacentral:sRNA from 1 species